rnacentral:rRNA from 1 species
UGGGGAAUAUUGCACAAUGGGCGAAAGCCUGAUGCAGCAACGCCGCGUGAGUGAUGAAGGCCUUCGGGUUGUAAAGCUCUGUCUUCUGGGACGAUAAUGACGGUACCAGAGGAGGAAGCCACGGCUAACUACGUGCCAGCAGCCGCGGUAAUACGUAGGUGGCAAGCGUUGUCCGGAUUUACUGGGUGUAAAGGAUGCGUAGGCGGAUACUUAAGUCAGAUGUGAAAAUCCCGGGCUUAACUUGGGAACUGCAUUUGAAACUGGGUAUCUAGAGUGCGGGAGAGGAAAGUGGAAUUCCUAGUGUAGCGGUGAAAUGCGUCGAGAUUAGGAAGAACACCAGUGGCGAAGGCGACUUUCUGGACCGUAACUGACGCUGAGGCAUGAAAGCGUGGGGAGCAAACAG